CCUUAACCAAGAGAGCAGUCACCCCUUCUUGAUCCCUUCCUGUCCUCUUCUGUGACUUAGAAGAUGCUAAGAAGCCUGACCCUUGGCCAAUGCUUGGUUCACUCUGUGUGGCCCCUACCAUUGUCACUAAAGCUUGUGUGGCUCACAUGUCUGGAGGGUUCAAGCGGUCACUUGAGCUUUGUGGUAGCCAGACCUCAAAGAGCAGGGGGGUCCCAGGCUCAGGCUUCCUGGCCUCCAUGUGACCUACUUCCAUGGAAGAAGAAGAAUGCUUGGUAUUGGAAAGACUGAUCCUAAUUCCCUGUAGACUUUCCUCU
rnacentral:lncRNA from 1 species